rfam:Nomascus leucogenys chromosome X, whole genome shotgun sequence.
UAGAAGUGACUGGAGUUGUUGAUGGAUGGACAGAGACAUUGUACUGAUUGCCAUGUUCUGAUUGA